CACGUAGGGGGCGAGCGUUGUCCGGAUUUAUUGGGCGUAAAGAGCUCGUAGGCGGUUCGGUAAGUCGGGUGUGAAAACUCAGGGCUCAACCCUGAGACGCCACCCGAUACUGCUGUGACUAGAGUCCGGUAGGGGAGCGUGGAAUUCCCAGUGUAGCGGUGAAAUGCGCAGAUAUUGGGAGGAACACCAGCGGCGAAGGCGGCGCUCUGGGCCGGAACUGACGCUGAGGAGCGAAAGCGUGGGUAGCGAACAGG
rnacentral:rRNA from 1 species